CUCCUAAGACUGAUCAAUGAACUUGAUAAUUCAGUACAAAAGCUGAAAUAAAAACACAAGACGAGAAGACCCUGUGGAACUUUAAGUCCUCCGCAAGCAACCCCUGGCCCUACAGCCACCCCACCUUGCAGACACUUUCAGUUGGGGCAACUACGGAGUAAAACAAAACCUCCACGACCGCAGCUGACACCUGCCACCCAAGGCCUACAUGCCUACUGCCUAAUAGUAGACCCAGCAAAGCUGAUCUACGAACCAAGCUACCCCAGGGAUAACAGCGCUAUCCCCUUCAAGAGUCCAUAUCAUCAAGGGGGUUUACGACCUCGAUGUUGGAUCAGGACCCCCCGGCGGUGCAGCCGCUGCCAAAGGUUCGUUUGUUCAACGAAUAAUGUCCU
rnacentral:rRNA from 1 species